GGAUCGGUGGACAUGACCACCUUCCAUUCCGUCGAAGGUAACGACCUCCAUUCGACCGCGCUGGAGGCGUCACCAGUGAAGCCGCCGAUCCACGCCGACUACAUAACAAACGUCAACAAUCACACGCCGUACUUCUGCCGCCAGAAGAUUGUGGACUUCUGAUAUCUAGACGAGCUCCAAACAAGCAGCGGAAAGGAGCCAUCAUCGAUGUCCAAACUGGAUACUGCUACAUAAGGAACAGUGCGCGAAGCAAGUCUAUUAUAUGUGUAUAUAAUAGAAGGUUCGAGUUUUUCGGAUGAUGUGACCAAAACAGAUACGGAAGUGCGCAUCCUGAGCUACUGGAAUUUCACCAAGACCCACAUCGUGCUACGCUUUCAGUAAUAUGGUGCUUUUGCGACGACCGAGCAUCUCUGGUUGCACGGACCUUUUACCUCAAGUGCCUUCUCCUAAAGCGAUUCCGGCAACAAAAGAAGUUCUUUGUUCGAGAAUGAUAAUAGUGGGCAUCGAAGCCAGUGCUUUACACGCUCAACUCCGCAUACGUGACCAGUGUGACCCAGGAGACAACGGUUGAGGGCCGUUCUCGCAACGCUAUCAUGGACGCUAUCAUACACAAGCAAUUUCGAAAAAUUCCGGUCGGCUACUCAGCACGGUCGUUCGAGAACAUUUUUGGAGCACAAGAAGCUGCAUUUCCUGUUUCAUUUUUCAGGGCAAGAAAACCCAACAAAGGCACAGCUGAUGCCGUGCUUGCGAUGAGGAGAUAGCAAGGACAUCACCUUAGUUCCCGACGCUAUGCCGGGACAUCACCGAUGAUUCCUGUUUAGACACGAUUCUGCGGAAACUUACCCGUUGAGAAGAGCCGCGGUGAAGAAGGAACAUGGCGUAAGGCUUUUGUGAAACUAAGACUCAAUGAUGACAGCAGGUGAUUAAAGAAGUUACAACAGUGUGUACAGCCAAACAAAACAAGAAAAGAGCUGAUUUACGUGCUUCCAGUGUCGAGAAUACGCAAUGUAGACACUUUUUUGCGCGUAUGAAGAGCAUGUGCAAGCAGCGCGAGAAGGCAAAUAUUAAUAACAGAAAACUUUGAAACCGCAGGCACGCACGUGAAGUACACGUUCGGUGGCUCUGGCCGUCGCUUUCGCUUUAGUGUCGUCAGUCUGCUAUUGCGAGACCAACACAUAUUGUGGAGGCUGCAAUUUGGAGUUUCCUAAGGCAAUUAAUUUGCCGAGCUUCAUCGUCUACACAUUGUAGAGGCGUCUUCUACAUCGUCUUUGUUUGCCGCUUGGACGCAAAGAACCCCGACCCAACGUAUCGGCGAACGCCAUGAGACCUACAAAAAAGAAACUAUGUCAACCAGGAACGUGCUACUCGAACAGUCAACUGCGUGCGUGUGCUUGUGUGGUUGGGGCCAUGUGAAAACUACCUUUAUUGUCACGGUUACCGUCACUUGUUUGUGCAUUGUGUGUUCAUGUGCAUAUAUUGGUGUCAGCUGCAUGCCCUGUCCACUUAAAGAGACCGCGGAUUUCUUCAAAUCAGGUUCAAACUACUUCAUUUACAAUAUUACGCUGAAUCAAGAAUUCGAGUUCAUGAACUUAUUGUCGUCAGGCACGUUCGAGGAUUAAUCUCAGCGUCAAGAGGAGGGCGAGGUGCAUUUAUCUGCUGUGGACUUACACGAAGAUUGCUUCGGCUCAUCAGUUCAAAAUGUAAAUAGAGUAUAUAAAUACUGUUC